rnacentral:rRNA from 1 species
CCUACGGGUGGCUGCAGUGGGGAAUAUUGGACAAUGGGGGCAACCCUGAUCCAGCCAUGCCGCGUGUGUGAAGAAGGCCCUCGGGUUGUAAAGCACUUUCAGUGAGGAAGAACGCCUGGUGGUUAAUACCCAUCAGGAAAGACAUCACUCACAGAAGAAGCACCGGCUAACUCCGUGCCAGCAGCCGCGGUAAUACGGAGGGUGCGAGCGUUAAUCGGAAUUACUGGGCGUAAAGCGCGCGUAGGUGGCUUGAUAAGCCGGUUGUGAAAGCCCCGGGCUCAACCUGGGAACGGCAUCCGGAACUGUCAAGCUAGAGUGCAGGAGAGGAAGGUAGAAUUCCCGGUGUAGCGGUGAAAUGCGUAGAGAUCGGGAGGAAUACCAGUGGCGAAGGCGGCCUUCUGGACUGACACUGCCACUGAGGUGCGAAAGCGUGGGUAGCAAACAGGAUUAGAUACCCUGGUAGUC